ensembl:lncRNA
AUAACAGCGUCCAGAUCCUCUCUGGAAAUGGCGGAAUCUUUGAAUUUUUCCUUUAUUGGCGAUUGUUCAAUCUCUCUUUUCCGAAAGAGAGUGGUUCAAAAUUUACUGACAGGAUAUAUAUAAUUUCUGGCAGAUUGAGCAGAGUGAAGGACUAUGCGUGCAUUGCUCCCGAAGGGUCACGUGAUCCCUCUUUUUACUAGUUUUAUUAGUUUUAUAAGAAUUAGCAUUUUAACUAGUGACAAUUUAAUUGUUGAUAUCACGAAUUCAUAUCCUGUGAAGGAAUAAAAGUCAAAAAGGCUUGCCAUAUAUAACCCCAACCCGCUACACACCCACCCACUCGGGAAUUCUCACUCCAAGUUGAACUCAAAAGUUGGCAGACCUGCUUUGCCAGAUGGAUCAAAAUCACGCAAAUUUACGUCUGAGAUCACACCACAGGGACGUGGCUGUUUCUGCAGUUGGUUUAAAGGGUAAAUUGGACUACUAUUUUUCCUCUCUGUAGUUCAUUCUGGACUGGUCAUUAACUGGUCAAUGGUGGAGCUUUUACUGCGCACAAACUUUUUCGUUUCAUUAUUCUUUAUUCGGCCAGGAUGGAGCUCAGUCAACUUCCUCUUGUGCUCUGUGGAUGGUCUCCCUCUAAUGUCAGUCAACAGAAGAACAGCAGUCAGACAUCAGACCAGAACCAGAGUGAAGAGACAUACAAGACACUGCAGUCCGGUCAGUCUAAUCAUUACCCAUGAGGCUUUACAAUCUCAGAUGAAAGACUUAGAGUUAACUUUUAAUAAACUCUCACAGCUAACUAAAUAUUAUUUCACUCUUCUAAAGUUUAACAUCUCUCUCUGUGCACACAAUAUAAAGACUCUGGUAGAUGUUAACAUGUUACAGUCAGUAGCGGCUCCUGAUCGUAAAUUUAGGUGGGGCAGAUUCUGGGUCAUAGAGCUAGUUUAUAAUAAACUUAAGAAAGUAUCUAUAUUUUUAUAGUCUAAUCGCUGAACACAUGCACACACACUUCUGGCAGAGAUCUAAUGUCCUUGCGUUAUUCAGCCUGUGGGCGAAACGCUAAUGUUGAUUGACAGGCUCGAAGCAUACACACAUAGAAUGCUAUAGAAUUAUUGCCUUAAUAAAUUUCUCAGAGAGUUGAUUAAGAAUAUUACA